rnacentral:rRNA from 1 species
GAAGAAAGAGGGAGGAGGGCGGAACACAUGCAAGUCGAACGGAAAGGCCCUGCUUUUGUGGGGUGCUCGAGUGGCGAACGGGUGAGUAACACGUGAGUAACCUGCCCUUGACUUUGGGAUAACUUCAGGAAACUGGGGCUAAUACCGGAUAGGAGCUCCUGCUGCAUGGUGGGGGUUGGAAAGUUUCGGCGGUUGGGGAUGGACUCGCGGCUUAUCAGCUUGUUGGUGGGGUAGUGGCUUACCAAGGCUUUGACGGGUAGCCGGCCUGAGAGGGUGACCGGCCACAUUGGGACUGAGAUACGGCCCAGACUCCUACGGGAGGCAGCAGUGGGGAAUAUUGCACAAUGGGCGGAAGCCUGAUGCAGCAACGCCGCGUGCGGGAUGACGGCCUUCGGGUUGUAAACCGCUUUCGCCUGUGACGAAGCGUGAGUGACGGUAAUGGGUAAAGAAGCACCGGCUAACUACGUG